rnacentral:rRNA from 1 species
UACGGAGGAUCCAAGCGUUAUCCGGAAUCAUUGGGUUUAAAGGGUCCGUAGGCGGUUUUAUGAGUCAGUGGUGAAAUCCGGCAGCUCAACUGUCGAACUGCCAUUGAUACUGUAGGACUUGAAUUAUUGUGAAGUAACUAGAAUAUGUAGUGUAGCGGUGAAAUGCUUAGAUAUUACAUGGAAUACCCAUUGCGAAGGCAGGUUACUAACAAUACAUUGACGCUGAUGGACGAAAGCGUGGGGAGCGAACAGG